AAGGGGAUAGAGGAGGACGAGAUGGGGGGCGGGGGGAGCUGCGGGCGACAGGUUUCUAUUUAAAGACGAAAUAUAAAAAAACCCUACACACACACAGACACACACAGACACGCACGCAAUACGAGUUAAAUAAAGAAUUAAAGAGCGCACUGCGCAGAGCUGCGUGCUCAGUGCAGAUCAGAAUUCUCGUGUUGAAAAAAACAUCAGCGACAGCUUUGGUGAGCCUCGUUCACCGGAAGACAUCGCCCUUGCGAACCAGAAGACAAUAUCCACGUUGUUAGAUAUAGACAUGAUAUAUAUAUAGAUGUGCUUUCUAUAUAUAGAUCAUUAUCACACAGCACGGGGAAGGCCCUGAAGCAUCAGCGGAGUGGCAAUGAAUAAAUCACUUCCUGGAGAAGCUCCCGGCACGUGCAAGCGGAACGUCGGACAUCGUGCCGAAUUCCGCGCGCGGGGGUCGUCCCUGGGUGUGGAAGGGGUGCGGGGUCCACUCGACGCCUCCAAACUAAACCGGAAGUACCCCAUCUGACACCGUAAUGUCAAAGCGCGGGGCCCCCCCAAAGUAAGGGGCCCGGGGCGGUCACCUCCCAUUCGCCGUACCCUCCGAAUUUACGUAUCGUUAAACCUCGACUGAACAAUGGAACGGUUGGUGCACUGUGCUCGGACCCGAAUUUCCAUUCCGGGCCACUGCAAACAUCAGUGUCGAGUGAAAUCCACCUAACGGAAAAUAGCCAUUGCGAUUAAAUAUGGUCAAACAACCCCCCAAUGAGCGACGGGUUAUGGGAGAGGGACUGCAUACAACAUCCAGCACUGGAUUGGACGCAAACAAAUUUUAGCCGCGUUUUGUAAAUUGCUUUCAGGUAUAGUGAGUGGCCGGUUACACAAACCAAAGUGGAAAUGUUCCAUUGGCUAUCCGAGCUGCCUUGUGACAAAAAACAAAACGAUCUUCUCUCUUUGGAGAUUCACGACUUGAUAGAUGAAAAAAAAAACGGUCAAAAGCGCAUUUGCCUCGGAGAUUCGCCCCGCUGAUUGUUCUGUUGAUGCCUCUCCUUCCCCAAUUUUAUUCUGUGCCAUCGGCGUCGCAUUACGAGACGAGAGGCGUCCGUUCGGGAACGCUUUGCUAUCGGCAAAAACAGCGAGUCCCCGAAUCACCAUCUCAAAUCCACAUUUUCGAAUGACUAUACAGUGAAACCUUGGAUUGCGAGCAUAAUUCGUUCCGGAAACGUGUUUGUAAUCCAACGCACUCGUGUAUCAAAGCACUCGUAUAUCAGUUGUGAUCACGUGACG